GACGAACGCUGGCGGCGUGCUUAACACAUGCAAGUCGAGCGGAGCGGCGAACGGGCGAGUAACGCGUGAGUAACUGCCCCCCUCUCGGGGAAAACAGGUGGAAACGGCUGCUAAUACCGGAUAGUGGGGGAUGACUCGGGUCAAAUCAGCUUGUAGGUGGGGUAGCGGCCUACCGAGGCGACGACGGGUAGCCGGCCUGGUAUGUGGACCGGCCACCAUAGGCUGCGGUACGGCCCACACUGCAACGGGAGGCAGCAGGGGGGAUUAUUGCACAAUCGGGUAAAGUCUGCUGCAGCAACGCCGGGUGCGGGAUGUCGGCCUUCGGGUUGUGAACCGCUUGCAGCCAUGACCCGGUAGUGGCAGAAGAAGCACCGGCUAACUACGUGCCAGCAGCCGCGGUAAUUC
rnacentral:rRNA from 1 species